CCUACGGGAGGCAGCAGUGGGGGAUAUUGCACAAUGGGGGGAACCCUGAUGCAGCGACGCCGCGUGGGUGAAGGAGCGUUUCGGCGCGUAAAGCCCUAUCGGCAGGGAAGAAGGAGGACGGUACCUGACUAAGAAGCCCCGGCUAACUACGUGCCAGCAGCCGCGGUAAUACGUAGGGGGCAAGCGUUAUCCGGAUUUACUGGGUGUAAAGGGGGCGCAGACGGCAGCGCAAGCCAGGAGUGAAAGCCCGGGGCCCAACCCCGGGACUGCUUUUGAAACUGUAGGGCUUGAGUGAAGUAGAGGCAGGCGGAAUUCCCGGUGUAGCGGUGAAAUGCGUAGAGAUCGGGAGGAACACCAGUGGCGAAGGCGGCCUGCUGGGCUUUAACUGACGCUGAAGCACGAAAGCGUGGGUAGCAAACAGGAUUAGAUACCCGGGUAGUC
rnacentral:rRNA from 1 species